GGAGUUGUGGCUCAGUGGCAGAGCAUCUGCUUGACAUGCAGAAGGUCCCAGGUUCAAUCCCCAGCAUCUCCA